GCGUAACGCGUAUACAAUCUACCUUUAACUGAGGGAUAGCCCAGAGAAAUUUGGAUUAAUACCUCAUAGUAUUAUAUUAAGGCAUCUUUUUAUAAUUAAAACUCCGGUGGUUAAAGAUGAGUAUGCGUCCUAUUAGCUAGUUGGUAAGGUAAAAGCUUACCAAGGCUACGAUAGGUAGGGGGCCUGAAAGGGUGAUCCCCCACACUGGUACUGAGACACGGACCAGACUCCUACGGGAGGCAGCAGUGAGGAAUAUUGCACAAUGGAGGAAACUCUGAUGCAGCCAUGCCGCGUGCUAGGAUGAAUGCCCUAUGGGUUGUAAACUGCUUUUAUACAAGAAGAAACAUCGGUACGUGUACCGACUUGACGGUAUUGU
rnacentral:rRNA from 1 species